GGCUAUGCAAAUAGGGGUGUUACACUGAAGCUUACAUGAAUGGUAUUCUUAAGAAAGAUUUAACUUUUCACUAUCAGCUAAGCAUCCAUUCCAUAGGGGAAGGUGGAGGCCUCCAAUUCUAGAAUGGGUUUGUAGUUGAUGAUCCAUUCUAGCACAAGCUUUGGAUAUGUCUAUUUGCUGUCUUGAGUUAGGUGCAUCAUUCAGAUUAUAAUAUAUGUGCCUGCUAGUCAAUCUUGAUUUGCAUCAGAGCAAAAAAUAAAAAUUACUUGCUUUUUUUCACAAGUAAGGCAGCGUAGAAUUAUCCACAAAUAUUGUUCAAAAUUUUAGUUUUGUAGCAGUAAGCUCUCUGCCUCUCUAAGUCCCUUUUACAUUGAAAGUGGCCAUGCAUAUUUUUUUCUUUUAUCACCUGUGUUAAGGAUACUUGAUAAGAGCAUUGGGAAAAUCAUAGUUUUCCAUGUCACUGUGCUCUUGUUAUCUUAGGGCCUUGGUGGCCUGAAAUCUUUUAAGGCAUUUUCAUGUCACUGAGGCUAAGGGUACUGGACAAGGAUUUCAAUGACUUGAGAAUGACUUCACUCACUUUAACUGUUGGCAUUAAGUAUAGCUCUGUGGGAUACUCUUAACUUCUAGUAAUAACUUAAUUAUCAUGAAAGAUUUCUGAGGGGCUUCUCAUCUGAUUGGUUAAUCCUUCAUUAAUCUUUGAAAGCAUUAUGAUACUUUUUAACUGAUAAAUAUUGUAAAUAGUUCCUUCUCUUCAUUUCCUGAGGAACCUUGUCACUUGUCCAAAUUGAGUCGUGACUUUGCUCUCUUACAAUUCAAGGUCAGUUGGAAUUUGGAAGGGUGUCAUUUGCUUGUUUUAUGGUUAGUUUCCAUCUCCAUUGGAAUUUGGCAGUGCAUGAUUUUGUAUUAUAUAAGGACCAUUCCUAAACUUUCUACUGCCAGCUGUAUCUUUUUACAGGAAAAAAUUGCCUUAUUUUUGUUUUUGCUAAAAAAUGUGGGAUAUCUGUAUUUGUGAUCAAUAGGAACUUUGCUAUCAACUUUUCAACAUUUGAAAAAUGAUUUUAUCCUAGGAUAAAAUCUGCAUAUUUCUUCUCUAUUUUGCAUGUCACUGAUUGCAGCAUGAAAUCACCUCAUAGAAGCUUAUAAAGAUAGGCAAGAAGCUUUGAUUGUUCUUUUUAUUUACUUUUCAAAUGUUGACUUGUGGGUUUAAUCAAAUACGAUUGGCAGUCAGGCUAAUAUUCAUAUUAUGUAACUUAUUUUCAGG
rnacentral:misc_RNA from 1 species